GCGCCCGUAGCUCAGCGGGAGAGCGGUUGUCUUAUAAACAACAGGCGCUUGGUUCGACCCCAAGCGGGCGCA
rnacentral:tRNA from 1 species